ensembl:lncRNA
ACGCAGCAGUUCCUACGUGCCUUGGACAUGUGGAGAAAGCCUUGGUUUUUGUCUCAGGGCCCAGUGCUGGGAGCUCCUUGUCGCUGUGUAACGCUAGCGACAGAUGCAUCCCUCACUGGCUGGGGUGCGGUCAUGAGUGGCCACCCUGCCCGUGGUCUGUGGAGUGGUCGCCAUCUGACAUGGCAUAUCAACUGCCUGAAGAUGCUGGCCGUGCUUCGAGCACUACAUUACUUUCUCCCAGACCUAAGAGGUCACCAUGUGUUGGUGCACACCGACAACACAGCGGUGGUCUCUUACAUCAACCACCAAGGGGGUCUGCGCUCACGGCGUUUAUACAAACUAGCGUACCAGAUCCUUGUGUGGUCCCAGGGUGCACUCUUCUUGCUGAGAGCAGUCCACAUUCCUGGGCAUCUCAAUAUGGGAGCAGAUAUCCUGUCGAGGCAGGGGCCGAGGGCCAGGGAAUGGUGGCUUCACACCGCGGUGGUGAAGCAGAGUUGGAGAGUUUUGGCCAGGCUCGGGUGGAUCUGUUUGCGACUCGAGAGACAUCGCACUGUCCCCUCUGGUUCUCUCUCUGACUCAUUCAGCUCUACUAGGCUGGAUGCCAUGGUACAGAUGUGGCCGAGGCUUCCUCUGUACGCUUUUCCCCCGAUUGCUCUGUUCCUGGGAGUUCUGGAGAGAGUGCGCCAGGACGGAGUCCGGCUGCUGUUGGUAGCCCUGUUCUGGCCGGGCCGGGUAUGGUUCUUGGGCCUGAUUUCUCUCUUUGACGGCACUCCAUGGGAGGUUCCCGUCAAGAGAUCUCCUCUCGCAGUCGGAGGGCGCGCCACUGCACGGAGCUUGGAGGCUGUAGGUGUGGUCUCUGAGGAGGCACAACUCAUAGCUUCCGGUCUCUCAACUGAGGUUGGUGAGACCAUUCUCCAAUCCAGAGCUCCCUCAGUGAGGAAACUGUAUGUCUUGAAGUGGAAGCUUUUCACUUCUUGGUGCGAAGACCACCAGCUCGACCCAGUUAACUGCCCGGUUGGUACAGUUCUGGAGUUCCUGCUGGCCCUUCUCUCCACAGGGUUGACC